GUGCCAGCAGCCGCGGUAAUACGUAGGGGGCGAGCGUUGUCCGGAGUUACUGGGCGUAAAGCGCACGCAGGCGGUUUCGUACGUCUGGAGUGACAGUUCCCGGCUCAACUGGGAAAGGUCUUUGGAAACGGCGAGACUUGAGGGCUUCAGAGGGACACGGAAUUCCGGGUGGAGUGGUGAAAUGCGUAGAGAUCCGGAGGAACACCAAUGGCGAAGGCAGUGUCCUGGGAAGCAUCUGACGCUCAGGUGCGAAAGCUAGGGGAGCGAACAGGAUUAGAAACCCGGGUAGUCC
rnacentral:rRNA from 1 species